GACAGAGGGUGCGAACGUUGCUCGGAAUUACUGGGCGUAAAGCGCGUGUAGGCGGUCUCGCAAGUCCGGUGUGAAAGCCCGGGGCUCAACCCCGGAAGUGCACUGGAUACUACGAGGCUGGAGUCCUGAAGAGGAGGGCGGAAUUCCCGGUGUAGAGGUGAAAUUCGUAGAUAUCGGGAGGAACACCAGUGGCGAAGGCGGCCCUCUGGACAGGUACUGACGCUGAGACGCGAAAGCGUGGGUAGCAAACAGGAUUAGAUACCCUGGUAGUCCACGCCGUAAACGAUGAGCACUGGGUGUCGCGGGUAUUGACCCCCGCGGUGCCGAAGCCAACGCGUUAAGUGCUCCGCCUGGGAAGUACGGCCGCAAGGCUAAA
rnacentral:rRNA from 1 species